GGGUCAGUAGGUUGGUCGUGCCACCGGUACGUACUGGUCUCACUGAUUCCUCCUUCCUGAAGAACCGUAAUGCCAUUAAUUUGGUGUUGCGGGGAAACAGGACUGCUACUUUGAAAAAAUUAGAGUGUUUAAAGCAAGCUAACGCUUGAAUACAUUAGCAUGGGAUAAUGAAAUAGGACGAUCGAUCCUAUUUUGCUGGUUUCUAGGAUCGACGUA
rnacentral:rRNA from 1 species